rnacentral:rRNA from 1 species
GACAGUCUCAGUUCGGAUUGAAGGCUGAAAUUCGCCUUCAUGAAGCCGGAAUUGCUAGUAAUGGCAGGUCAGCAUACUGCCGUGAAUACGUUCCCGGGCCUUGUACACACCGCCCGUCACACCAUGAGAGUUGGGGAUACCCCGAAGCCUGUGAGCUAACAGUAAUGAAGCAGCAGUCGAAGGUAGAAUCAAUGAUUGGGGUGAAGUCGUAACAAGGUAAC